rnacentral:hammerhead_ribozyme from 1 species
GUGCUGAUGAAGAGUCCCAGACUAGGACGAAACGGCUGUCCAGUAC